UGGAAGCUGGUGUGCGUUAUUGAGCUGGACACACCUGGCCAUUCCACAUGAGGAUUUUAGAGCUUUUGGGAUAGGUUCCCAUGGAAUUAGCCAAGCCCCUGCAAUUAAUGAAAAGGCUUAUAAAAGAGAAGUUUGGGAGGAAAGCAUUCAGAUUGUGCUUUGAAUUGGAGAGGAACAUGAGAAGUAUUCAGUGUGAUGUUUGCCCAUGCUCCUGUGGCUCUGGAAUACUGGGAUUUGUUUGGUGAGAAGUGGAAAAUCCAACCAGAACUGUUCCUGAAGCAAUCUGAUCACCUGUAGGAAUUGGGAAGCCCUGCUGUGGCUUGGAAAUGCAGUAGGUGAUGCUGUCCAGUAGGGAGAGCUACAUGUGCUGGGAUCUUGUGUAAAGGAUGCGUGUGCCAGCUCAUGGGAGAGCUAUGUUGGGACCUGAAGGCUUCUUCUUCUGGGAAGGAGAGAUCCUGCACACUGAGCUUGUUAGAGGACACAGCUGCCACAAUGCAGUGCUGACAAUCAGGCCUUUCCCCUGAGUCCCUGAGCUAGGGGGAUCAUGAGGACCACCUGGACACUCAACAGUCUGCAGCCUCACCUGCGUGAGAGGUCAUUCUGAACAGCAGGUUCUUACAUCAUUAAGAGGGAGGAAUGAUGCAAGGGAGAAAAAAAUAGACCAUUACUAAUUUUUUGGGACAAAUGUUGAUAUGAACAAGAUUGAAUUGUUAGGAAAACAAUAUACUGAUCAUUGUAUCUGUUAAUACACAUUCUCUGUUUUCAUAAACAUAGCUCUGCACCGGAGUAACACAUUUGAACCUUGUAUCUCUUUGUCUCUUGUGCUUCAAAGAAUCAAUUUAUAGUUCAGUGUUUCAUGUUUUGCUUUCUGAAAGAAAGGAAAAGUAAACUGGCUUAAACAAAUCAAGAAUGGUUUUCUUUACAAAAUGUCUUUUUCCGAGUAAGCUUCCAGUUUCUUUCAUUAUGUCUAUGAUGUGGGGAUUAGACAGAUCUCUGAAACCCAGAAAGACAUUAAGAUUGAUUUACAUUUGAUAUGUAUUUGUUCUAAAGUAAUAAACAGUGAAUAUUGCUGUAAAGAAAAGCUUUUGAGUUGGAUUCUGCUUCAUGCACAUUAAACCCUUAAAUGUUAGUUUUUCUGUCACUGUUAAAUGUUUGACGAGUUUGUGAGUGCUUCUUCCUCUCAGCAUAUACUGUACAUAACUUAAUCUUUAAAAAUUAAGUUGCUUCAACGCUUGAGUCUGUCCUCACAAUGCCUACUCUAAUGUGGAAGGGUGUUCACAGCUGUAGUGCUGUGGAGCAGAUAGUGGGUGUGUGGUAUAGCAUCACACAGGUGCUAAUUAACCAUGUAAUGAUCUUUCAGAGGACAGGCUGCUCUGCUCAUACAGGACUGUGAUCAUUUUUCCUCAUGUUGUGCUCAUCCACAGGAAACCACAUUAAGCUUUUCUGAGAUGUUUGCAUUUUCCUUUCAAAAUCUUGCCAACGACAAACAUUCCUACAUGAGACUGUUUGCAAUUAACAUUGGAGUCUCUUGUCUCUCCUGCGUGUUAAGUUUCUCAGGAGUCAAGCUGCAAGCAGGACUAGAGCUCAAGGCUGGAGUUGCUCGUCCAGUUCCUUAUGGUCAGCACAAGAGCAAUAUUCACUUAGAGGGGGUUGUGAUAUAAGCAAAUGCAAGGGUGUUCAAUUUUACCAACAGGAAUAAUGCAAGUUCAUUAUGUUAGCAAGCAAAUGCUUGUCCACAGGCUGCAUGCCUUUAUCUAUUUAAGUAAUAGCUGGAAUUUUACAGGCAAGGUGCAGGUAAGACGCUUGUGCAGCAACUGCCAUGGAUGAAGAUGAAGCACCCAACAUUUAUGACUGACAGGCACUCUGAGCAGCCUGCAGGAGCAAAAAAAAAAAAACGCAUGUAGGCUUAUUAAAAGAAAGAGGAGGAUGAUCCCCUGUGGGGAUGCACUCUUCGUCCAUAAAGUGACCACACAAAGAUACCCAACCCUGAAAGUCACAUUUAAGGAACGAAACAAAUACUAGUUUAUUGUAAAAACUGAACAAAACAGUCCAGUCGUAACUCGGCCGGCUGUUAUCCAGACGCUCCGGCGGUCCGCAGUCUGGAGCCCCGGGAGAGGAAACGCUCCAGUCAGGACAGCCGGCCGGAGAGACGGUGGGCACCUGGGACCGCGAGCAAGAGGCUCUGCAAGCAGAGUGCAGACCGGUUGGAUUCUCACCUUCGAACUGACCGCUCAUCUGUCCAGUUUCACGCCACACGGGAGCUCUGCGCUUCGGCGUCCAGGCUGUUGUAGAGGACAGGAAGGCCGGGGAGCUGGAGAGGAGGAACUAGGGAAUAAGACACCUGCUGAAACACCACUAACAGACCUGAGCAAGCAUUAAAGAUACAGUAGCGUGAGUGUUGAGCCCUUGUAACCGAGCGCACAGCUGUCAUUCAGGAGCCGAGCCCGCCCCCAGAGUGACCUUCCUCAGCGGACACGCCCCGUCCACCUGUUCCACAGGUGCGCCCGGCAAGAUGGCAGCGGGGAGAGUUGCUGCGUCGUGAGGACGCCGAAAAGAGUCUCCUGCUCGUUUGAGCGUGCUCUCGAAGUUUUAAAAGUUUGCGUUCAGCGUUCUUGUACUACCUUUCAUGUAACAAAAGGAUUUGAAGAACGGACCUCCACUUAUGAAAGAGUUUUUUCCAAGUUCUGCGGCUCCUGCUUCUCUGCGCUCCGACGAUCUCCUUUCCAGCUCCACUCCAGCAACUCGACGAGCGUUGGCAGGUUCUUCUCGACAAUGUGUGCUUUUUGUUACAUUUGAUUUUUGUUACCAGUGGCUUGAUCUGUAAUGUCCCGAUUCAGUGCUGUAUUUUAUUCUUGACCUGCAUGUUUUCUGUUGACUGCUGUUAUUGUAUGUGCUGCGGUUCCUGGUUCUCGGCGCUCCGACGAUCUCCGGCAAUUUUUUCUUGACAAUGUGUGCUUUUUCUUGCAUUUGAUUUGUUACCAGCGGCUUGAUCUGUAAUGUCCCGAUUC